rnacentral:rRNA from 1 species
CACUGCCCGGUAGCUAAAUGCGGAAGAGAUAAGUGCUGAAAGCAUCUAAGCACGAAACUUGCCCCGAGAUGAGUUCUCCCUGACCCUUUAAGGGUCCUGAAGGAACGUUGAAGACGACGACGUUGAUAGGCCGGGGGUGUAAGCGCAGCGAUGCGUUGAGCUAACCGGUACUAAUGAACCGUGAGGCUUAACCUUACAACGCCGAAGGUGUUUUAG